UUGGGUUAAGUCCGUAACGAGCGCAACCCUUGUCCUUAGUUACCAGCACGUUAUGGUGGGCACUCUAAGGAGACUGCCGGUGACAAACCGGAGGAAGUGGGGAUGACGUCAAGUCAUCAUGGCCCUUACGGCCUGGGCUACACACGUGCUACAAUGGUCGGUACAAAGGGUUGCCAAGCCGCGAGGUGGAGCUAAUCCCAUAAAACCGAUCGUAGUCCGGAUCGCAGUCUGCAACUCGACUGCGUGAAGUCGGAAUCGCUAGUAAUCGUGAAUCAGAAUGUCACGGUGAAUACGUUCCCGGGCCUU
rnacentral:rRNA from 1 species